GGGGACGUCGUCUAGCUGGUUUAAGACCCCUGACUGUCGAUCAGGUGACCGAGGGUUCGAAUCCCUUCGUCCCCGCCA
rnacentral:tRNA from 1 species